rnacentral:rRNA from 1 species
UACGGGGGGGGCAAGCGUUGUUCGGAAUUACUGGGCGUAAAGGGCUCGUAGGCGGCCAACUAAGUCAUACGUGAAAUCCCUCGGCUUAACUGAGGAAGUGCGCCCGAAACUGCCGAGCUUGAGUACCGGAGAGGGUGGCGGAAUUCCCCAAGUAGAGGUGAAAUUCGUAGAUAUGGGGAGGAACACCGGUGGCGAAGGCGGCCACCUGGACGGAUACUGACGCUGAGACGCGAAAGCGUGGGGAGCAAACAGG